GAUCUGAGGGUCUGGGUCCCGUUGUGUGGUGAAGGGUUGCUAUUGGUUGACGUCUCUUCUUCGGUGGUGUGUUGCAGGUGCUGGCGCCGGCCGUUGACUGGUUGGACUUCCUGUCGUCCUCGCUGUCCCCCCUGGAUCUGAACGACACCGAGCCCGUGGUCCUGUACGCCCGAGACUACCUGCAGCAGGUCUCAGACCUCAUUAACAAGACGGACCACAGUCUGCUGAAUAACUACAUGAUGUGGACUCUGGUUCAGAAGAGCGUUGUGAGUCUGGACCAGCGGUUCGAGAACGCUCAGGACAAACUGCUGGAGAGUCUCUACGGGACCAAGAAGUCCUGCACCCCCCGCUGGCAGACGUGCAUCGGGAACACAGACGACACGCUGGGCUUCGCUCUGGGGGCGCUCUUCGUCAAGGAGACCUUCGACAAACACAGCAA